UACCCGUAAACGGCGACACGACGAUUUUCGCACGAUUCCCAAAGCAUGCUGAGGCGUGUAUGCAAGCGCACGCGCGACUGAACACGAUCGUUUACCCGUUUCGCGAUACGAGAACCCUGCUACCCGUUGGAAUUAUGCACUUACACGCUUCCGUUUCGAAUUGAACGCAAAACGGUAUCGAGCAGAUGAAGGAAAAUAGAUAUAUAGAAAAAUUAGUGCUAGAGAAGAAUAACUGUGUGUCGAACAAACUAUGGAAAAUAUUGAUAUCCUAUUUAUACCGUCAUCGUAGGAGGAAACUACGGAAGAGACAAACAACAGAGGCUAUUUCUAUGGGGAAACCGCAGCUCGAGGGGUGAGUUCUUUAAUUCGAUAUAGACAGAGAAAUUGGAGAGAAAAGAGGGAGAAUAGAAAUAGGAAAACGAAGGUGGCUUGUCUUUACGUGAACCGGAUUUUCCUAAACGAUGGGCGGGGAUCUCGAGUGUUUGAUCAAACGAUUGAACUGUCGAAACUGGCCUGUUUCGAGGAAAAUGGAAUCAUCGAUCGUACAAAAGAAUUCAUGAGAAAUCACUGGUGCAAAAUGAUCGACUUUCAGCAUACAUUAUCGCGCUAUUUGGACGAGUAAUACCUGUUCGUGUGUGCGAUAUAAUAUCGUCUAAUGUUCCUUCGAGUGGAACAUCGCAGCCCGGAGCGACAGUGAAAUAUGAGCACGCCUCUUUCUCCGGGCACAUACGACAAUGCUUUCGCCAAGCACAGAGGAGAAAGCUCAGGUGCGAUGGCGCUUAAUUUGAAACGCUCUACCCCGGGAAAUUCGAUGCUAAUCACCGGCUAAAAGUACCAAAAGCGACGAGGAAAAUUUUAGUUCGUCUGCGUUUAUUAACGCCAUCGUCCUGUGUUAAUUGCAUCGUUUCUGAUGAACUGUUCUGCUAUGAAACGCGAAGAUUAAAUGCUGCAGAUUACUCGCAUCGUUUUUCACGUUCAUCUCUCGUGUCUGAUGUUAUAGAAACGUCUGACAGACACUCUAUCUCAUACGUAUAAAUUACUGUGAAAUCUUGCAUUUUAUGUUUCUAAAUUCUUAAGUGUUUUUAUGUCAUACUAUUAUUAGCGUUGGACAAACGACGAAUUGAUUAAAUUCAUUUCUCGGCAUAGUAAUAACCAUGGAAGGAUAAUAAAAUUGUUACGAGUUUCCCGGUAGAAUUCGACCGAUUCGUAGAAAGAGAAUUCUGCGGCCGCGAAAGGUCGUCGGAUCGUCGCGUCGUCUGGAAGGACGGUGCACGAAGGUAAACGUCGACGAAAACGGAUACGAUAAUACCUGGUCGCACGCCAUCCGCGUAGGCUCACGUGAAAAUAGUAAAAUCUGACCUUAAAAUAUUCGUCGUACCGGCAGGUACUUCGCUUGAUUACCCACCAACACGUGCCACCAGAUAUAACGGCGUCUCCAUUUGUCAGCUAGACACAAUAUAAUGCCUCGAAAUCGCCCUGUCGUUAAUUCACUGUCCGCCAUCACGAUAAUACCUUGCUUAUAUUACCUUGUCGACGCGAUACCGUCCACCGAGCUAAAAUUGUUCUCUUCUGUUAUACGAACACACGAUCCUCGAUUAAAUAUCCUGAUACCGGCUUUCGUGAUUUUCCGGUCUGUACAUUUAUACGCGCUUUAGUAGAAAAGAAAUUGUAUUUAUCACUUGUAACUACAAUUUGAAAAAGAAAAUAAUUACCAAUUUGAAAAUUCAAUAAGCUACUAAGUAUAUUAAUAGGAAAUUACCGUAAAUAAUUUAAUGAAUCGUGUCAACUAUAUUUUAAUCAAAUUUGCAACAGCUCAUCAAUUUCCUAACUGGACGAUACUGUCGCUGAUAAUAACGAUACAUCUAGUACGAGCAAUAACUCAGGAUUAAAAGCGAUCACAGCUAUGAUGAUGACUAAUCGAUGAGUGGCUGAAAACUGAUCAUUAACCUCUCCGUUCUAAAUGGAUGAUUCCACGACUUGACAGUGUCCGUGAUUUACAUCUAGCAUCGCUUUUAUUGCCUCGAGCGUGCACUCCUCUUUUCCUCAUACUCGAUAUAAAAUAUUAUUUUCACUAUUGUAUCUUACAACCACGGGAAAGUCCAUUGUUGCCAAUAAAAAAGGAAGAUAAAAAAGAACAG